CCCACCACACGCGGGGAACUUUCUAGAACUGUGGCCUCCCCUGCCGCCCCCUUUAGGCAGGCGCACCCCGAGGCAGCGGUGCCCAGCCGGGGCGGCCACCUCGCCGGGAGUCUUCCCGUCGGUGCUUUGAGACCUCUAGGAGGCGACGGCCAGGGUAACCAAGAUGUUGGCAUGUUGGUGGAAGCCAGCUUUGACGCUCUCCUCUUUCCCUCUCAUCAGGAGGCUUCCUAUUUCUUCUUCCCUCACUGCCAGCGGCAUGGUGUCACCCGCCUCUCUCCCAGCGACCUCCAUUCCAGCUUGUGCUUUCUGCAGCGCGGCGUUGCAGAGCUUCCAUAUAUUUGUCUACCAUCCUACAGACUUGCUGUGCUUCUUUCCCCACUUUCACCCAGUGGGCUGCUCCGUGGCCAGCUCUAGCUCUUGCUUCUUGGCCUGCAUGCAGGCUCCUCGGGAGACUAGUAAGACGAUCCGGCUCUCCGGAUCUGAGCUUGUGCCCAGUCAAGGCUUGCGCAGACUUCAUGAGGCACAAGCGGAUGUUUUUGGAACUCCCUCCUUUCUCUUACUCGCAGAAGAACAAAGAAGGGGGAGUUGAGGGGUGCCCAUCGCUUGGUGGCACAUGCUGGUGAUGGCAUACAAUUGUGCUACGAGGAAUGACAAGGAAGAGGAUUUGAGGAAUGGCUGGAGAGACGUGAGAAAGCCAAGCCUUAGCGUCCCUCUUGGGAGCAAGACUGGGUAUCGGCUCCAAGGCAGAAGAGCGGUGAGGGCUGGACUAAGGGGAUGAAGUGGCCCAGGGCCACCCAGCUGGGACGUGUCUGAGGCCAGAUUGGAACCCAGGACCUCCGUCUCUGGGCCUGACUCUCCCUCCACCGUCCACCCGGCUGCCCAGCAAACGUGUCUUUGUCACUCUUCUGUUAACCAGCAGACAUCGCAGGUGGCUCCUCAGAACAAAGACAAUGUGGCCGCCUGUAGCCUGGAAGGUUCCUUCCCUAAGAUACAGGCACUGCCCGGGACCUUUGUAAAGAGCGGACGCUGAUGUGGGCAUUAAUGCACUACAUGGAAAGGAAGCUCUCACCCCCUUUUUUACAAACCCAAGGGGCAUGAGCCACGAGGAACGGGGAGCCCCAGCCGCCAGGACCUGUUUGAUGACUUCUUUAAACAGACUGGGCAGGGGGCAGCUGGGUGUCUCAGUGGAUGCAGAGCCAGGCCUAGAGACGGGAGGUCCUGGGUUCCAAUGUGGCCUCAGACCCUUCCCAGCUGGGUGACCCUGGGCCAGUCCCUUGACCCCCAUGGCCCAGCGCUGACCCCUCUUCCGCCUUGGAGGCGAUUCUCAGUAUUGACUUCAAGACGGAAGGUGAGAGUACAAUAAAACAGAAGGAUGCUUCGGCCCUGUUCCUUGAGUGUUCGGCACGAGGGCCAUGUUUGUUUCUGUGUGUGGAUAGUUUACCUUUAAUGGGCCUUUUCUGAAACGAGGAGCUCCAGGCCGUCUGAUCGGGGCUCUACGUGUAUGGCCACCUAGCACCCGUGGACCUCCCAGGCCGUGGCGGCUUUCCUGUGCCUCCCUCCCCAGGCUCCUCUUCCCGAGGCCGCUCCUCCUUUUCAUCUGUCUCAAUGCUCCAUGAAAUUCUUUUGGAAUAUGUUACUUGAGCUGCUGCUAAAACAUGUGUUUUAAGUAUUGUUUGGAUGUAAACAAAAGCUCAUUGUCAACCUGAAUGUACCUUAGAUUCUUGUUCAAUCCCCAGUGGUUACCUCAGUUUACCAAUUUGUUCCAUAAACUGAAAUGUACUGAUGAGUACUAGCCUAAGAUCCAGUGAUUCCAUGAUGGAGUCCUUGCAAUCCCGAUUCCUUUGGGUUACCAAUUAGCAAUUCAAGUGAUACCAAAUGGAAAAGUAAAAGCAAGUCAGAGAAGAAAGAAGAACUUUGAUCUAAAGUCCAUAGUGCUUGAGUAUGCAAAGGGAGAGGCAGAGAGAGAGAGAGAGAGAGACACUGACAGAGAGGGAGAGAGACAGAGACAGAGAGAAGGAGAGAGACAGAGACACGGAGAGACAGAGAGAGAGGGGAGAGGGGGAGAGAGAGAAGGAAAGAGAGAGAGAGGGAGGGAGAGGUGAGGAAGGAGAAAGAGGAGAGAGACAGAGAGGGAGGGAGAGACAGAGAGAGAGACAGAGAAAUCAAGAGGGGGAGGGAGAGAACAGAUAGAGAUUUUGCUCUCAUCAUUGGAUCUUUAACUGAGGCAUAACUUCUAGAAUGGCUGAAGGUGGCUUUGGAAAAUCACAGAGGAUUCUGGGAUGGCUCUGGAAAGUUGCCCUUCAGAGAUUCCAAACUGACCUGUCUCUGCUCCUUCAGAUGAUCAGGGGACAGGAUAGGGUCCAGCCCUGACGGCGGGCCAUGAGGGACCACAGCCCAGAGCUCUCUGGAUCUGCCCCAGGAUCUGGGGAAAGAGAGUCGCCUGUAAACUGCGGUCGCUCCAGCGAGCCUGGAUGCCACACUGAGGUGGACGUUGCCAAAGGAUCAACAGAGGAAGCGGGCGUGAAGAGGCGCUCUGGAGAUGGAGGCUGCGGCUGAGAUGCUGAAUGGCACAUCUGCUGGACUGAUCUUCUCUGUUCAUGGCUGUUGCCCCAGUCCUGCUUUCUCUGCUUCUACCUUCGGGACUGACUGUCCUCUUUGUGACGGAUCAGCCGGUUACAGGAAGCAGCGGCUCCAUGUCCUUCAGCUCCCCGCAUUCCCUGAGGAUGCGCCCCUGAAGACCCCCCUCCCUGUUAUCUUUUUUUUAACUCUUACCUUCCAUCCUGGAAUCAAUACUGUGUAUUGGCUCCAAGGCAGAGGAGUGGUAAGGGCUAGGCAAGGGGGGUCAAGUGACUUGCCCAGGAUCACACAUCUAGCAAGUGUCUGAGGCCAUAUUUGAACCCAGGACCUCCUGCCCAGGCCUGGCUCUGAGUCCACUGAGCCACCCAGCUGUCCCCUCCCUGUUAUCUGAGCCCCUCUUGUGUUAGCUCAACUACCUGCCCCAUAACUAUCCCUUUCCUUACAUUCUGGGCCUUUUCCUGUGUUUUAAAUGACGGAUGGCCAGCCAUCCAGACAGAUAACUCUCUGAUCCAGCACAGGGAAGCAGCCCCCAAAGCAGAGAGAACCCCAGGCCUCUAUCCCAAGGACUCAGUGCCUUCGGGGCUUACCCCAAACCUGAGGCUUCCAGGAGAUUCCAUCCACCCCAGUUCUGGCUACUCCCCUGUGAGAUGCUAUCCCAGCCCCCGCAGCCAGGCCUCCCCCUCUGCUGAGGACAGGCAGGGACAGCCUUGAAGAAACUACAGAAGACUGAGGAGGUCAUCACCCCCAUUCCCUUAGAUAUUUGGGGGGGGCGAGAUGGUGGGGCAUUGCACCUCCAGCACUCAGGCAGACUGUCAGCAGGGGAGUUCUUCUGCUCCCUCACACCCUUGGGACCCCCAACCCCAAAGUCUGACCUGGAGGAUCCACCUCCUUGGUUUGUCCUGUUGGUUUGAGAUGGACCAAGAGACACCCCUCGUCCAUCUGUCCACCGCCCUGCCCUGUGGGAAACCUUCUGCCACCCCCUGCUCCAGUCACACCCUCACCAUUGUAGAGUAUAAAAUCCCCCAGAACUGAUGGCCUGGGGGGGGGGGGGACAGGGACUGUGAGAUUUAAAAUGGUUGAGGUCUUAAACUGUAGUGAUUAAAAUGGUGGAAGAUAUAAAUCGUGAUAGAUAUAAGAGAGGGUGAGUAAAUUUGACUGCAGAAAUAUGUUUCACUACAGUGUCUUGGGUUUAAAAUCAAAUAUAAGGUGGUUGCCAGGGAAAUAUUCCCAAUUAUUCAAAUACCCAAGUCAAUUGGCUUUUAUAGAGAUUUUAAUUAGCAAUACAAUGAGUAAUCAAAGAAAGAGAGAAAGAAAGGAAUAAGUUUGAAGGGCCUCAAGCCAAUAUGGCCUGGACCUGAGUCUUAAAAGAGAAAUCAGUUUUUUAACACUCACCACAAGGUCUGACUAAACAAGGAUACUAGUGACACCAGGCCAGCAUCCUUCCUCAAAGAGUCUUCCAGCCAGAGAUUGCUUCCAAGGGCGUCUCUCAAGAGCCUCCAGGGUUCAGGAACUCUCCUUCAGAAUGAGAGUCAGAAAUCAAGCUCCCUUGUUCUUCUCUGAGCUCUUAUUUUUAAGGGCAAAAUCUCCUCUGUCACCUCCCCUAAGUCCUUACAUCUACCAAUCACUGUAGAUGUUUCUAAAGGACCACCCAUUUUGAAUUCACAGCCUAGUAGUUUUAAUCUCUUUAGUAAGUCAGGAAAAAAUCCUGCUGUGUCGACAAAUUUCAUUAAGAAAAAACCUCUGAAUAAGUUAUCACCCUUUUAGGUUUAAGUAGUUUACAAGUUGCCCCACCUUUAUAGGUACUUAGUAUCCCAUUGUAUCAAUUCUAAAAAAGUCAUGACUCAAAGAACUUCCUGUCCCUUCCAUAAGCAUGGAUCAAAGUACUUUGUUUAGCAAACAGAUUUCUGACCUAAAGCAGUCUUAAGUAGGGUGGAGCAGGGACACUCCCAUAGGUAGGAGCCCCCACACUCAAGCAGAGUUCUCACCAUCUGCUAGGGAAUUUUUUAAAGUAGAAGAUUCCCCAAUGGGGGAAACCCCUAACAUUCAUAAGUCUGAGAAAUUUUGAGGUUUACAGGACACACAGCUCCAGGCUCUUCCCCCUAGGAGGCAGGCUUCUGCCUAGGCUGCCCUCCUGCCACAUGCAACAUUACUCUUUUUUUAAGUUAAAUUUUGGGGUCUUGUAUUCUUGCAAAAGGCCUCCUUUAUGUCUGCAUCCCAGCCCAAGCACGGAUGGCUACCUGGGCACUUUAGGUGCCCAGCCUACCUCAGGGAGUGCCAAAUCGAUUUAACAUUGGUUAGAGCCAAGCCCUUCUUCAUGCCCUGGUAAGUGGGGAUGAAGGAACUGUUUCAUUUCAUAGGCCAUUGACUCAAGCUCAGAGAAAUGAGAGAUGUUUGCCAUCAAAACCUCCAGGGCAGGGGUCCCCAAACUUUUUACACAGGUGGCCAGUUCGCUGUCCCUCAGACCAUUGGAGGGCCUGACUAUAAAAACAACCCAAACUCUAAGGCUAACCCUAACCCCAAAACUCUAAGCCUAACCCUAAACCUAAAACUCUAAGCCUAACCCUAACUCUAAGCCUAACCCUAACCCUAAUGCUAACCCUAAAACUCUAAGCCUAACCCUAACCAUAAAACUCUAACUCUAACCCUAACCCUAAAACUCUAAGCCUAACCUGUAGCAUACAGGACAAGGGAAAGAAAAGAAUUCGCUCUCAUCUCGUGCGUGAUAUAGUCCUUUUCUUUAACUAUUAAAGGUCUGACAACUUCUUAUAGUCCUGACUGUACAUGGGUAAAAUGACAUAUUAAUGCACAUGUCCUGUGGACUAUGGAACUGAUAUCACAUUAAUUCAGGAUCACUAAAGAGUGAAGAUCAUUUUAUUAUUUUUUUUUUGGUCUUUGAUGAACUUUUUACAUUUGACUUUGCCAGAUGAGGUAAAAAUUCAUUUUUAUCUUCUCAUUUUUAUAGGAUUAUUACUAAGUUAAGAUAAUUUUUAUUUUUAUUAUUGGUCUUUCAUAAUUUUUAAUUUUAAUUUGGCUAUUCUAUUUGGAAUUCAUUUUGAUUAAUUAAUUUUACUCCACUCACUACCAUUUUUGUUUUCGAUUGAGUUUAUAAUUUUUAUUUUUCUGUUAACAUAAUAUAGUCUUGUUUUAAUUUUUAAACAAAAAGGGGGAUAUGUAGCACACCAGGCUUCUUAGCAUCUUGGAAGUAUGAUUGAUGUAUUGAUAUUGUAUCCUGUAUAUUCAUUUACCAGACACCUGGCAUGGAAAGGGACAGUCCAAAGGACUAGCAAAGGAUGGGCAAAUUCCUGGGCUGGGCCUUGACAGCCAUGCCUUGGCUGGAAGUAAAUUCAUUUGCAAAGCUCAGGUUGGAUUAAUCUCCACCUCUUUGAUUCAGUCAUUGUCAAUUCAACCAAUGUUAAGACCUUUGCCAUGUUACCUAUGCAUUGAUCUCCUAAUCCACAUUCCUAAAACCUCCAAUAAAUACUGGGGAACAAGCGCGAAUCUCUCUCUUACUUUUCUGGACCUUCUGACUUCUCUGUCCCAUCUUUUCCUGCUGAUCCUCGAGAUGCUGUCGCCCCAAUGCUUCCUAUUAAUGCUUGGACUCUCUUGUCCAUAGGAGGCAUUAAGGAGUUGUGACUCCCCACGUGUUUUCUUAUUCCUCACGUUUCCCUUUAAUUAUCCAAGGGAAAUAUUCACGGAGAUCGCGCCACUCCCCAUCUGUUUGAA